rnacentral:lncRNA from 1 species
AGAAGAAGAGAUUUUGGUGAACACUAGUAAUAUCUACGUUACAGAUCACAGGUUUACAGGUUUACAGGAAGAAGCUAGCAAGAAGGGUAGAGGGUGUGGGAGCAGCAGAAAUGCUCCUUCCCCUACAGUCCAAGACAGAAAUGGGAGGAGAGCUGGCUGGGAGUUCUCCAUCUCCUCCCCCUUACAUGACUAGCUCUUCGCUCUUCAGCUUGAAUGCCAUCUUCACUCCCCCCUUGCCCUUCAGUCCUCUCCCCAGGGUCACACCCACUCCACUCCAUGACAAACUGUCUCCAGAACUCCAGUCUAGGCCAGUCUUCUCACUCCACUACACCUGCUUACUAGAGAGAUGGAUUUCUGAUCAAGUGGUCCAUCAUUGGCAAUUCUUGGCAAUCUGACCACAAGGAAUGGCCUAUAGCUAGAUUCUGCAGCUGAGCCGGGAUCUGCCUCUCCUUAACAUAUUUGUUAAAAACUGGAAACCACUCAAAUGUCCAUCAGCAACAAACGGAUAAGCACCCUGAGGAAUAUCCAUAUAACGGAAUACUACUCAGCAAUGAAAAGGAUGAAUCUCAAAAUAAUUAUACUGAGAGAAAGAAGCCAGACCAAAAAAAGAGCCCAGCUGGAGACCCCAAGAGGGCAGAGGUAAAGUUUUGUCUUCCCUACAGCCCCUCAAGGUUGGAAUCACCUGGACCUCACCCCAAUGAUUCUGACCUUAUUGGUCUAGAGGGGGCUGAGCGUUCAGAUUUUUAGUGUGCUACCUACGUUGAGAACCACUGCAAUACAGAAGAAUGUAAAGAAAUGGAAAAAAACCCUAACACUACACUCGGAUAUAACCUCCACUGUUAAGAUUUUGGUGACUGACUUUUUU